UACGGGGGGAGCAAGCGUUGUUCGGAUUUACUGGGCGUAAAGGGCGCGUAGGCGGCCCCCGCAAGUCGACUGUGAAAUCUCCGGGCUUAACCCGGAAAGGUCAGCCGAUACUGCGGGGCUAGAGUGCAGAAGGGGCAACUGGAAUUCUCGGUGUAGCGGUGAAAUGCGUAGAUAUCGAGAGGAACACCUGGGGCGAAGGCGGCCGGCUGGGCCGACCCUGACGCUGAGGCGCGAAGGCGUGGGGAGCGAACGGG
rnacentral:rRNA from 1 species